UUUUAAUUGAAGGCUUGUGUGAAGGGUUGGACAAAGGAUAAGCUGUCUUUAUUUUUGUUUUUGAAUUUGUCUUUUAAGUGAAAAGACUUAAAUUAUUUUAAGGGACGAUAAGACCCUAUAAAUCUUUAUAUUAAUAUAUUUUUAUUUUAAUUUUUAAUGUUUAUUGGAAAAAGAUAUAAAAUAUUGUAUUGGGGUGAUAAGAAUAAUGAAUAAACUGUUCUAACAAUAACAAAGUUAUUUGAUUAUAUAAUAGAUCCUUUUUAGAGAUUAGAAGUUUAAGUUACUUUAGGGAUAACAGCGUUAUUUUUUUUGAGAGUUCUAAUCGAAAAAAAAGUUUGCGACCUCGAUGUUGAAUUAAAAUUUCUUUAUGGUGUAGCCGCUAUAAGAGAGAGUCUGUUCGACUUUUAAAAUUUUACGUGAUCU
rnacentral:rRNA from 1 species